rnacentral:misc_RNA from 1 species
GCCAACAGUAUACGAAAAUCUCAUCCGGAACACAAAGUCACAAAGGGUUUGGUUCAUAAGUGAAAUCCUAAUCCUUGAAAAGGGGUUAUGAAAGGCCUAUGUGUGUGUAUGUGAAAAAAGUAAAUUAAGAUGAGCAAAUGAAAACUGGUGCAGUCGCCAAUUUAACAACAAGCUUCUAAAUACAAAGCUACACAUACAUGUCUUUCUUUCUCUCUGUAAAUAAAAAUGGAAGAUGUUGGGAACCUAGUAGCACCCGCAAACAGAACUCCUGAUUAAUCAACCAACUCUGGUAACAGGAAUCUUCUUGCGUACAGAUAUCAUCUCAUUCAUUUGUGCAAUCUGAACCAAGAGCUGGCUAAUCUUCUGGUCCUUCUCUUUGAUAAGGUGGAUCAGACGAUUCUCGCUCUCUUUCCGGAUCCAUUGACGCCAUCUCUGCACCCUUGAGUACAGCAGCACCGCCGUGGCCACUACUACACUCACGGACGCAAAUGACCAAAACCCACCUCUUCCACGAGCUCUGCUUGCAAUCCUAAAAAUCCCAGACCUCAAAAUCUCAAAGCGCAACCUCAAACGCUUCCCAAUCUCAUUUCCCGCGCUUGGUUUGGAAAUUGAAUCGGACGGCAACGACAACCCUUCUCCAGCUUCCGUACUACACACAGCAACUGAACUCGCCCGGCUAAGAGUUGGAGAAUCUGGCGGAGGUGUUGGUGACGGUUGUGGGAGUUGAAGGCCCUCGUGGUAGCUUGGAGGGAAAAUAGAGAGGUCGUCUGGAAGAUGGUUGUUGUUUCUAGCAGCAACAAUUUCCAACUGGACUUGCUCCCAUUCGUCCAAAGACUCUGCACCUUCCAUUUUCAUGAUUGGAAUUUGAAGUCUGUAGAAACUAGUCCUCAGUUUAGACUCCUCAGCGGGACUUGCUCUGGAAACUGGAUAACUGAUUUUUCCGUUGAAGAAUUAUCAGAUGUAUCCCAAUAUUCACAAGUUUAGCUGAAGCCAAGAGUCAGUGGUCGGUAUUCUCAAUAAAAAAAUAAAAAAAGAAAUUAAUGGAAGUUCAAGGAUGUGAUGGUCAGGAUGAUAAUAAGUUCAUGGCUUUAUAGGUGAAGAUCUUAGGAGGGAAUCACAUCUUCUGGUUUU